AUUGAACGCUGGCGGCAGGCCUAACACAUGCAAGUCGAACGAGUGGCGGACGGGUGAGUAAUGUCUGGGAAACUGCCUGAUGGAGGGGGAUAACUACUGGAAACGGUAGCUAAUACCGCAUACCAUCGGAUGUGCCCCGAUGGGAUUAGCUAGUAGGGGGGGUAAAGGCUCACCUAGGUGACGAUCCCUAGCUGGUCUGAGAGGAUGACCAGCCACACGGGAACGGAGACACGGGCCAGAAUCCUACGGGAGGCAGCGUUGGGGAAUAUUGCACAAGGGGCGCAAGCCUGAUGCAGCCAUGCCGCGUGUAUGAAGAAGGCCUUCGGGUUGUAAAGUACUUUCAGCGGGGAGUCGUUACCCGCAGAAGAAGCACCGGCUAACUCCGUGCCAGCAGCCGCGGUAAUUC
rnacentral:rRNA from 1 species